AGUGAACGCUGGCGGUAGGCCUAACACAUGCAAGUCGAACGGCAGCACAGUAAGAGCUUGCUCUUACGGGUGGCGAGUGGCGGACGGGUGAGGAAUACAUCGGAAUCUACUUUUUCGUGGGGGAUAACGUAGGGAAACUUACGCUAAUACCGCAUACGACCUACGGGUGAAAGCAGGGGAUCUUCGGACCUUGCGCGAUUGAAUGAGCCGAUGUCGGUUUAGCUAGUUGGCGGGGUAAAGGCCCACCAAGGCGACGAUCCGUAGCUGGUCUGAGAGGAUGAUCAGCCACACUGGAACUGAGACACGGUCCAGACUCCUACGGGAGGCAGCAGUGGGGAAUAUUGGACAAUGGGCGCAAGCCUGAUCCAGCCAUACCGCGUGGGUGAAGAAGGCCUUCGGGUUGUAAAGCCCUUUUGUUGGGAAAGAAAAGCAGCAGGUUAAUACCCCGCUGUUCUGACGGUACCCAAAGAAUAAGCACCGGCUAACUUCGU
rnacentral:rRNA from 1 species